rnacentral:rRNA from 1 species
GACAGAGGGUGCAAGCGUUGUUCGGAAUUACUGGGCGUAAAGGGCGCGUAGGCGGUCCGCUAAGUUCGGCGUGAAAUCCCCUGGCUCAACUGGGGAACGGCGCUGGAUACUGGUGGACUUGAGUACCGGAGAGGAGAGUGGAAUUCCUGGUGUAGCGGUGAAAUGCGUAGAUAUCAGGAGGAACACCGGUGGCGAAGGCGGCGAUCUGGGAAGAUACUGACGCUGAGGUGCGAAAGCGUGGGGAGCAAACAGG